ensembl:rRNA 5S_rRNA 5S ribosomal RNA
GCCUACGACCAUAUCACCCAGAAUGGCGCCCGAUCUCGUCUGAUCUCGGAAGCUAAGCAUGGUCGAGCCUGGUUAGUACUUUGAUGGGAGACUGCCUGGGAAUACCAGGUGUUGUAGGCU